AGCCUAGAACACGGGCAUACCAAUGACCACCAGGUUGAGGAGCUGCUUCCCGCCCUGCCGCUUCUCCAGCUCUGCCUUCACAUCUAUCUGCUGCCUCAGCUUGCUAGACUUUUUCACUGCUGUUGGAGUUGAACUCAGCUCUUCUGAUGCUUGAAUGGAGGGAGGUAGGAGGGCAGAUUUAUGAGUGCUGGUCCCAGGAACGUUAGGAGAAGCAAUGCUGCCAUUGUCACCAGGAGGUCCUCGGUGAAGAGCAGGCAGACUGUCUCCAUUUUCCUCAGAGGUUAAGCUACAGAAAGAAAGGGAGCUGAAGAUGCCCAAAGACGAUUGCCUCUUUUGGGAAAUCCCCGACUGUCUGGACGCUCAUGUUUAACCUCACCAAAUCUCUUCCUAAUUUUGAGCUGACUGUUGAGUUUCAGUAUUAAGAGUUAAGGUGGUUUCUGCACUGAGCCUUAUUCUGACAUUUUACCUAGAUCCUCUACCUACCUCUCUGACCACACCCUUUCACAAUACUAAAAUUGUCUGGUCAGUUAGCAGAUGGCUAAACUAUUUUGGAUCCCCUAAGAUUUAUCAACUGAUGAACAAGUUGAAAGUCUGAUGAA